rfam:Rhodnius prolixus Rhodnius_prolixus-3.0.3-10506.1, whole genome shotgun sequence.
GCGCCUUCUCGGCCUUUUGGCUAAGAUCAAAAGGGUAGUAUCUGUUCUUAUCAGCUUAAUCUCUGGUACAUUAUCCUUGUAUUCCUCAUUAUAAAGAUCUUCGCUUGAAGAGUGUGCACAUUGGUUCGCUAACUUCCUUAAAACUGGAUCAAAAAUCGUUACUUCCUUUAUUGAUUAGUUUAAGAUAA